rnacentral:lncRNA from 1 species
UCUUAUUUUCUACAAGGUUAUAUUUGGUAUUUAAUUAAAAAAUGAUUCAUGGAAAAUAUUUAAUAGAAAAAUACUCUUUAAUUUGGCAACAUAUACUGAGAGUGACAGAAGCUUCGAGUAGAAGUUGCAGGACACGUACCUGGGCAUCAAACAUGUUCGUGUACUUGAUAUUGUUGCCCGAGUCAACUCGUCCCGCGUUGGGUUGAAACAGGCAAAAGGCGAGUGUCUCGGGCCUGGGAUCGCUCUGGUACGCGAAGAAAGGGUAUGGGUUGAUGGCAAAAGGCGAGCCAGUGUUUCUCUGGAACUCCAACAAGCCCCUCAUUGUGUCCGAAGUCGCCGGGUUGAAAGCGCCGGAGGAGGGCGGGUCAGACUGAGUCAACACGGCCAUGGAGUGCACGGUUGAGACCUUGAUUUUUCCUCCCAGUGACGCCGCGUUGAGGGCAUUCUGGACAUUUUGCAUCGCCGGCAAGAGCUGCGACAUCAGGUUCUGGUCGGUGGAGCUCAUGACCUCGUUGCCAACAGUGAUGAGGAUAAUCUUGCUUGCAGGGUAGUAGGCGAUGACGUUUGAGUUCACCCACUGAGCCGCGAAGUUCGGAUCGGAGGCUAGGGCGGGGAUGUCGCCGUUGGCGGCGCCGAUAACGAUCCCGAUACCAGUGUUGGCAAGAGCUUUGAUGAUUCCCGGAUCGGCGCCGUAUAAUCUGACCUUUUCAAUUGACGUGGAUUUGAGCAGCUUCGCGGUGGCCUCAGGCGGCGGUAG